rnacentral:misc_RNA from 1 species
GUAGGUGAACCUGCGGAGGGAUCAUUAACACUAUUUGGCUGGUGUCACUGAGUAUUUCGCAAGAGAGAAAACGUGAUGUUAGUUCAGAUUUUAACACACCGUUGAAUGCGCUGGGCAAGCUGUAGGCUGUUGGAGUGACGCAGUGAGCUGUUCUUGUACUUGGCUACUUUUGGGGGUACAGGUCUGGCGACUCUAACAGUUUUUUCGUUUGUUCAGCUAAACUUUUUGGUGACGUUUACACUCAGAGCGU